CUUCCUCAGCCAUGAAGGACCUGAAGCAUACUCUAGUUGAUCAGUUUGUGGAGAAUUAACUUCUGGAACAGACUCAAUGAUUCUUCUUGAUGAGAAUAGCAAGAAAGGGAAGUGUGAUGGGUAUUUCAGCUAUCUUCUGGAGAUCAGAUCAAGCACACACCUCGUAAAAUAAGUCUUUUCAUUUUAUAAGUAAAGAAGUCUGCAAGAAGCAGUUACCUUUGACAGAGAUUUUAUGGUAGGUAAAAUUAAAGUGGUAUCUCUUAUUUAAUUAUUCUUUCAAAAUCUGUCUGUGUACAAAUGAAGAUGUCUUAGUGCAAUGAAAAUAAUAAUAUAGAUUAUUCAGGGAAUACAUGCUGACCCAAUCAUCCUUGGUGGAGCCCUCAAACAAGUAAAACCCCUGUU
rnacentral:lncRNA from 1 species